GGGAUAACGUUCUGAAAAGAACGCUAAUACCGCAUAAGAUUGUAGCUUCGCAUGGAGCAGCAAUCAAAGGAGCAAUCCGCUGAAAGAUGGACUCGCGUCCGAUUAGAUAGUUGGCGGGGUAACGGCCCACCAAGUCGACGAUCGGUAGCCGGACUGAGAGGUUGAUCGGCCACAUUGGGACUGAGACACGGCCCAGACUCCUACGGGAGGCAGCAGUGAGGGAUAUUGGGCAAUGGGGGAAACCCUGACCCAGCAACGCCGCGUGAGGGAUGACGGUUUUCGGAUUGUAAACCUCUGUCCUCUGUGAAGAUAGUGACGGUAGCAGAGGAGGAAGCUCCGGCUAACUACGUGCCAGCAGCCGCGGUAAUACGUAGGGAGCAAGCGUUGUCCGGAUUUACUGGGUGUAAAGGGUGCGUAGGCGGAUUGGCAAGUCAGAAGUGAAAUCCAUGGGCUUAACCCAUGAACUGCUUUUGAAACUGUUAGUCUUGAGUGAAGUAGAGGUAGGCGGAAUUCCCGGUGUAGCGGUGAAAUGCGUAGAGAUCGGGAGGAACACCAGUGGCGAAGGCGGCCUACUGGGCUUUAACUGACGCUGAGGCACGAAAGUGUGGGUAGCAAACAGGAUUAGAUACCCUGGUAGUCCACACUGUAA
rnacentral:rRNA from 1 species